rnacentral:tRNA from 1 species
GCCCAGGUGGUGAAAUUGGUAGACACGCAAGCUUGAGGGGCUUGUGAUCGCAAGAUCGUGCUGGUUCGACUCCAGUUCUGGGUA